rnacentral:rRNA from 1 species
CACGUAGGGCGCAAGCGUUGUCCGGAAUUAUUGGGCGUAAAGAGCUCGUAGGCGGUCUGCUGCGUCCGCUGUGAAAACUCGGGGCUUAACCCCGAGCCUGCAGUGGAUACGGGCAGACUAGAGGUAGGUAGGGGAGAAUGGAAUUCCCGGUGUAGCGGUGAAAUGCGCAGAUAUCGGGAGGAACACCGGUGGCGAAGGCGGUUCUCUGGGCCUGUACUGACGCUGAGGAGCGAAAGCGUGGGGAGCGAACAGG